CUCAAAGGUUACAUUCAACCAGCGUGAUAUGUGCAACAGCGCAUUCCUUUUCUCAGUCUUGGUCUUCAAGGGUUACAUUCAACCAGCGUCAUAUUUGCAACAUCGCAUUCCUUUUGUGAGUCUUGAGUAAGAGCCUUCAAGCGUUACAUUGAAGCAGCGUCAUAUCUGCAACAGCGCAUUCCUUUUCUCCUUUUCUCAGUCUUGACUAAGUUCUUCUUCCAGAGCCUUUAAGGGUUAUAUUCAACCAGCGUCAAAUUUGCAACAGCGCAUUCCUUUUCUCAGUCCUCAGUAAGCCUUCAAUGGUUAUGUUCGAGCAGCGUCAGAUGGGCAACAGAGCAUUCCUUUUCCCAGGCUCAACUUUCAAUGGUUACGUUGAAGCAGCGUCAUAUGUGCAACAGCGCAUUUCUUUUCUCAGUCUGGAGUAAGGCCUCAAUGGUUACCUUCAAGCAGCGUUGUAUGUGCAACAGCGCAUUCCUUUUCCCAGUCUUGAGUAAGAGCCGUCAGUGGUUGCAUUCAAGCCACGUCAUAUGUGCAACAGCUCAUUGCUUUACUCAAUCUUGAGUGAGGGCUUUGAAGGGUUACGUUCAACUAGCGUCAUAUCUGCAACAGCGCAUUCCUUUACUCAGUCUUGAGUAAGAAACUUCAUAGGUAACAUUCAAGCACCAUCAUAUGUGCAACAGGCAUUCUUUUUUCAGUCUUGAGUAAGAGCCUUCAAGGGUUACAUUCAAGCAGCGUCAUAUGCGUAAUAGCGCAUUCUUUUUCUCUGUCUUGAGUAAGGUAUAUCUGAAUGGGUCAGCUGUUGUGUAUCAGUCACAAAUGAGCUGUUCUUCUUCGAUACCUUCAAGGGUUACAUUCAAGCGGCGUCAUGUGUGUAACAGCGCAUUCCUUUUCCCAGUCUUGAGUAAUAUAAAUCUAAAUCUGUCAGCUGUUGUAUUUCGGUCACAAAUGAACUGUUCUUCCAGAGCCUUCAAGGGUUACGUUCAAGCGGCAUCAUAUGUGCUGCAGCGCAUUGGU